rnacentral:rRNA from 1 species
GGAGUGAACGCUGGCGGUAGGCCUAGCACAUGCAAGUCGAACGGCAGCACAGUGGUAGCAAUACCAUGGGUGGCGAGUGGCGGACGGGUGAGGAAUACAUCGGAAUCUACCUUUUCGUGGGGGGAUAACGUAGGGAAACUUACGCUAAUACCGCAUACGCCCUUCGGGGGAAAGCCGGGGAUCGCAAGACCUGGCGCGGAUAGAUGAGCCGAUGUCGGAUUAGCUAGUUGGUGAGGUAAUGGCUCACCAAGGCGACGAUCCGUAGCUGGUCUGAGAGGAUGAUCAGCCACACUGGAACUGAGACCACGGUCCAGACUCCUACGGGAGCAGCAGUGGGGAAUAUUGGAACAAGUGGGCGCAAGCCUGAUCCAGCCAUACCGCGUGGGUGAAGGAAGGCCGUUUCGGGGUUAGUAAAACGUCCCG